UCUCAGUUUGAGCAGCACUUCCUUGGGGAAGCCAUCCCUGAUGCCCUACGCCCCCUUUAAUUACCAUUGUAUUUCACAACGCACUGUAGCAGUCUAUUUAUUUACCUAUUUUUUCCACCUAGAUUUGUAAACAUAUACAGGCAGGCGCAUGUCUGUAUCCCUGGUAUCCCACCACACUGCCUGGUACAUAAUUUGGCACCCAAUAAAUAACAACU
rnacentral:lncRNA from 10 species